rnacentral:rRNA from 1 species
AGUGGAUGGGGAGCAACCUAUGUUGUGCGUGUGUAAAGGUAGUGCCAAGAAAAGCGAUGAUCAUGUUGAAAAUCAAUUCCCGGUACCCGAAACCGACACAGGUGGGCAAGUAGAGAAUACUAAGGGGCGCGAGGUAACUCUCUCCAAGGAACUCGGCAAAAUUACCCCGUAACUUAGGGAGAAGGGGUGCCACCGAGAGGUGGUCGCAGUGAAGAGGCCCAGGCGACUGUUUAGCAAAAACAUAGGUCUCUGCAAACUCGAAAGAGGAGGUAUAGGGGCUGACGCCUGCCCAGUGCCGGAAGGUUAAAGAAGUUGUCAGUUUUAGGAUGAAGCUAGCGACUGAAGCCCCGGUGAACGGCGGCCGUAACUAUAACGGUCCUAAGGUAGCGAAAUUCCUUGUCGGGUAAGUUCCGACCCGCACGAAAGGCGUAACGAUCUGGGCGCUGUCUCGGAGAGAGGCUCGGCGAAAUAGGAUUGUCUGUGAAGAUACGGACUACCUGCAUUUGGACAGAAAGACCCUAUGAAGCUUUACUAUAGCUUGGAAUUGUGUUCGGGCUUCCUGUGCGCAGGAUAGGUGGGAGGCGUAGAAGGUAUUCUUGUGGGGAUACUGGAGCCAACGGUGAGAUACCACUCUCAGGAGGCUAGAAUUCUAACUUAAUUAAGGACAGUUUCAGGUGGGUAGUUUGACUGGGGCGGUCGCCUCCAAAAAGGUAACGGAGGCGUACAAAGGUUCCCUCAGACUGGUUGGAAAUCAGUCGAAGAGUGCAAAGGCAGAAGGGAGCUUGACUGCGAGAAGUACAGUUCGAGCAGGGUGGAAACACGGUCUUAGUGAUCCGACGGUGCUGUGUGGAAGGGCCGUCGCUCAACGGAUAAAAGUUACUCUAGGAUAACAGGCUGAUCUCCCCCAAGAGUUCACAUCGACGGGGAGGUUUGGCACCUCGAUGUCGGCUCAUCGCAACCUGGGGCGGAAGUACGUCCCAAGGGUUGGGCUGUUCGCCCAUUAAAGCGGUACGUGAGCUGGGUUCAGAACGUCGUGAGACAGUUCGGUCCAUAUCCGAUGUAGGCGUGAGAAUAUUGAGAGGAGCCUUCCUUAGUACGAGAGGACCGGGAAGGACGCACCGCUGGUGUACCUGUUAUGAUGCCAAUUGUAAACGCAGGGUAGCCAAGUGCGGAGAGGAUAACCGCUGAAAGCAUCUAAGUGGGAAGCCCACCUCAAGAUGAGUAUUCUGGUGUAAGGUCACGGGAAGACGACCCGUAAAUAGGCACGAGGUGGAAGUGCAGAGAUGUAUGAAGCCGAAGUGUACUAAUAGACCGUCGGCUUGACCA